rnacentral:rRNA from 1 species
GAUGAACGCUGGCGGCGUGCCUAAUACAUGCAAGUCGAGCGAACGGACGAUAAGCUUGCUUCUCUGAUGUUAGCGGCGGACGGGUGAGUAACACGUGGAUCACCUACCUAUAAUACUGGGAUAACUUCGUGAAACCGGAUCUAAUACCGGAUAAUAUUUUCAACCGCAUGGUUCAAAAGUGCAUGACGGUCUUCCUGUCACUUAUAGCUGGUUCCGCGCUGCAUUAGCUAGUUGGUAAGGUAACGGCUUACCAAGGCAACGAUGCAUAGCCGACCUGAGAGGGUGAUCGGCCACACUGGAACUGAGACACGGUCCAGACUCCUACGGGAGGCAGCAGUAGGGAAUCUUCCGCAAUGGGCGAAAGCCUGACGGAGCAACGCCGCGUGAGUGAUGAAGGUCUUCGGAUCGUAAAACUCUGUUAUUAGGGAAGAACAUAUGUGUAAGUAACUGUGCACAUCUUGACGGUACCUAAUCAGAAAGCCACGGCUAACUACGUG